AUGAUGUGCGGUUUCAGUACUACUAGGUGUGAGGAGGAGGAGGUUAGCCUUGAUGGUCAGGUGGUACCUCAGAAGGACACCUUUCGGUAUUUGGGGUCAAUACUGCAGGAGGAUGGGGGUAUUGAUGAAGAUGUGAACCAUCGGAUCAAAGCCGGAUGGAUGAAGUGGCGCCAAGCUUCUGGCAUUCUCUGUGACAAGAGAGUGCCACAAAAGCUAAAAGACAAGUUCUACAGGACGGCGGUUCGACCCGCAAUGUUGUAUGGCGCUGAGUGUUGGCGGACUAAAAGGCGACAUGUUCAACAGUUAGGUGUGGCAGAGAUGCGUAUGUUGAGAUGGAUGUGUGGCCACACGAGGAAGGAUCGAGUCCGAAAUGAUGAUAUACGAGAUAGAGUUGGGGUAGCACCAAUUGAAGAGAAGCUUGUCCAACAUCGUCUGAGAUGGUUUGGGAAUAUCCAGCGCAGGUCUCCAGAAGCUCCAGUGCAUAGCGGAUGGCUAAAGCGUGCGGAGAAUGUCAAGAGAGGGCGGUGUAGACCGAAUUUGACAUGGGAGGAGUCCGUUAAGAGAGACCUGAAGGAUUGGGGUAUCACCGAAGAGCUAGCUAUGGACAGGGGUGCAUGGAAGCUUGCUAUCCAUGUGCCAGAGCCAUGA
rnacentral:rRNA from 1 species